UACGGAAUGUGCAAACGUUAUUCGGAAUCACUGGGCUUAAAGAGUCCGUAGGCGGCAUGUUAGGUGAGGUGUGAAAUCCCCCCGGCUCAACCGAGGAAUUGCGCUUCAAACCGGCGUGCUUGAGGAAGAUAGAGGUGGGCGGAACUGAUGGUGGAGCGGUGAAAUGCGUUGAUAUCAUCAGGAACACCGGUGGCGAAGGCGGCUAUCUGGACCGACAUUGACGCUGAGGCGCGAAAGCGUGGGGAGCAAACAGG
rnacentral:rRNA from 1 species